CCUAAAUUGGAUAAAUCACCUUCACCCUGCUCAGUAUUGAGAGCGUAAGGUGGAUAAUUGAUGUUAUACUUAGGUCUAACGUUUAAAGGAGUAGAUGUUGCCUUAACGCUUUCUACAGUAGAAGUCGCGGUAGCGUAAUAUUGACUCACAGACGCCUGGUAUGCACUGGCAUGUUCGGAGGCAUUUGUAUGUUCAAAGCCUUCAGGAUACAUAUAUACCAUGUUGUUUGGUUCUCCUUCCAAGAUGAAUGCUGGAUGAACUGGAUUUUGAUCUAGUUUAUCUGUUCCACAUGAUCCAAUACAAAAUGAAGUGGGUUCGUUCAUGUCAAUCCAUAGUCCACUGUAAGGAAGUGGGAAAGAAGAGUUAUAACCGAAUGCUGCUGAAAGGUUCAUUAAGCAUUCAGUCCAAUAGUUGGUUGUCUCUGGAUUUGUGAAGUCCGGGAAAGUUGUAAAACCAGGCCAUACGUUUCCAACGUACAAAGAUCUAUCUGGAUUUCUUAGGAAAAUGUCCCUUCGUACCCCUUCGUAGUAUGGAUAAUAAACAUCGUCACUUCUGUUUAUAGGAUUUGCAGCAUAAAUAGCAGCGUCAAUGAUAGGAACAUAAUGUUGAUUGCUUUGUUGCAAAGAGUUAAAGAAUUCCAUCAUUUUGUCUUUGGGGAAGGCAUUAGAUUCAACUGUGAAAUCCCUAUACUCAUACAUAUAAUCAAUAUCACUCCAAAAGGUGUCAACAGGAAUUUCAAAAUUUUUGAAAUUUUCUUUGACUUCUACUAAGUCAAACACAUUCUUGUAUCCCCAACGGCAAAUGUGAAAUCCAAAAGUCCAAUGCUGCUGCAUUGCGGGCGUUCCGACAGAUUGUACAAACUGAGAUACUGUGUCCUUAGGAUUCUUUGUUCCUCCAACGUAUAUAUACAAGUCGACUAUUCCUCCAAUUAUUCUGUAUUGUAAAUAGUUUGGACGAAGAAGUACUUCCAUUCCGUUGGCAGUGAGCAUGAGAACGCCAUGAGUGGAAGAAGUGUAAGAAGGUUGUCCAUCCGAAUUUAAAUUUUCAGAUGGAGUAUAACGAUGUUCUAAAUAGAAGGGGUGGGUUCCAUAGGCAUUCCUAUCCAAAGGCGUGGGAUUUCCAUUUGCCCAAAAAGUCCUGGUUAAAUUGUUACCAAGUCGUAAACCGUGAACGGUUUCGGCUAGUCCAUACACGUUAUAGUCAUCAACCAUGUUGGUGGUUAAUUCAAUAUACUGGUCUUCAAAAAUUAAUUUGUGACCUCGUGUAUCAAAAAGGACUUCACCAUCAGAUACUCUAGUCACCCAAAACUCAAACGGCUGAGAGUUGAAUGAAAAGUUGUAAGUCCGAUCUCCAAAUUGAGGUUGAAAAUGAUACAGAGGGGCAUCCCAAACAUCUGUUCGCUUGCUAAAUUGGAAUUGUGCUCCAUAGAGAUCCUGUAUGGACACAUGUAAACGGUCAAUUGAGUCAAAAGAAACGUUGAGUGCCAAAAACGGGUAGUCCGUACCAUAUGCAUAGCAGGGAUCUCCGUUGAGUUGUAAAAUUGCUAGAACUCCUUUUUCGUAUUCAGAAACUUGGAUUGCAUUAUAACCACCACAUUUAUCUCCACGGUAUGGUUCAUAAACAGAUGGAUUCUGAGCAAGGCCUAAAGAUGGCACAGCAGGGGUGGAAAAAAUGUCUUCAGUUGCAGUUGCGGAUGGGUGUGUGGCAUCUGAAGUGGUAGUUGAAAAGUCUGCAUAAGAAAAAGUAAAUUCACAAGCAAGUAGCAAGAAAAAAGAUAAAAACAAAGAAGCUAAAUUCGACUUCAUUCGAUGGAUGAACAUAGUUAUCAAUAAAAAAAACUAGAAGGUGGUUGAUUGCAAAGAUUGCAGCAAAAAAUAAUAUCAAAAAAUCGUUGAUUAAUGAAUUAGGGAAAAAAGGACAGAUGAACAAAAAGAACGAAGAAAUAAACAAAGUAUAAAAAUGGCACGAUAUUAUUCAAAACUUGGAUUCUUAAUGCUGACCCAGAGAUAAAGGCGUUUAUUUCAGUCCGAAUAGUUUGAAAUAGAAUUUUCGGAAUGCUAGAUAUCUCAAAGCUCAAAAAAAAGAAACCCACGAUAAAAUAAUGUCGAGAAAAGAAAGAUACAAAAAGGAAUAUGUCUAAGUUCGCAACCAGGAAUUGGUUUGAUUUGAAAGCCUUUCUGUAUCAGAGAAUUCAACCUCUUUAGCAGUUGGAAUGGUACUAAAAUAUUUUCAACUACACACCCUUUAUAAAGUAUAUUUGGCUAGUCUAUUGCGAUUGAUUUCUGUAAUAGUUAAACCAACUUAAAAAGGGGAGCAUCCAAUCAAAAGACUUGCACUGAUGUCACCGUAGGUGGGGAAGUGCUUUUUGAGAGAAUUUAAAGUUUUAAGCCUCUCACGAGGUGCGCAAAACGAGUGUUAAAGUGCAAAUUGUGGACCGACAAGACUCAAUGAUUGCGCAUAUUACGUAACAUUAGAACGGUUCUAUCCAAUGAAACAUAUUAUAUUAUUUGUUUGUUUUGUAAUUGGCAGUCGUGCGACAUAAAUAAAUAAGCCGCAGUAAAGUUCAUGCACUCACACUUUUAUCACGAUUACGGUUUGGUUAGCCGAAGCCGAGUUAGACAGUUUCUAUAAAAAUAAACAAUACUAUUCGGAGUUUUUGUGACAUACAGCUACAGUCACAGUUCGGAAAUAACAAUAGUUAAAAUGGUAUAAAUACGAUAUGUUUAUCAUUUUCACAUGAUUUUUACAUAAUUACAAUGCUUUAAGGCUUAAAAUAAUUGUUUACAAAGCCGAGGAGUUUCUUUUUUUUUCCCUAGGACGGAUAUACAUUACUCUCCAAGCCUACAAGAUUGGAUGUUUUUAUGCGCUAUACGUAUGUGUUGUAUUUCAGUUGAGAGUUUUAGGUAAACUUGAUGGUGACAUUUUUUGCGAUAACCUGUGUGAUUGUUUUUAUUACGAACCGUUCCUUCAACAAUCCUUGAAACAAUUAUAGGUUGUCCUAUUAAUAUGUCCACUUACCUAACUAUUAACAAUUUUGUAUAAUCGUUUUAAGUUGUUUACUUUCCAGAAUACAUGUAAACUUGCUAAACUGAAAAACUAAAUAAACUUUUUUAACCGAG